rnacentral:snoRNA from 11 species
ACUUGGUAUGAAGGUAGCCCAAUUUAAAGCUCAUUGCAGAAGUCCAACCUUGAGGUUACCUGUGCAUGCACUACCAUCUUCAGGU